UCCUGGCUCAGAACGAACGCUGGCGGCGUGCUUAACACAUGCAAGUCGCGUGCGCAGUUCCGUAGCAAUACGGAGAUGGGCGCACGGCGCACGGGUGCGUAACACGUGGGCAAUCUGCCCUUUGAUGGGGAAUAACCCGCCGAAAGGCGGGCUAAUUCCGCAUAAGAUUCUCUGAACUCGGUUUGGGGAUUGAAAGCAGCAAUGCGUCGAAGGAGGAGCCCGCGCCCGAUUAGCUAGUUGGUGAGGUAACGGCUCACCAAGGCAAUGAUCGGUAGCUGGUCUGAGAGGAUGAUCAGCCACACUGGAACUGAGACACGGUCCAGACUCCUACGGGAGGCAGCAGUGGGGAAUCUUGCACAAUGGGCGAAAGCCUGAUGCAGCGAACGCCGCGUGGGGGAUGAAGCAUUUCGGUGUGUAAACCCCUUUCGACUGGGAAGAAUGCCUCGCAAGAGGAGUGACGGUACCAGUAGAGGAAGCCCCGGCUAACUACGUGCCAGCCGCGGC
rnacentral:rRNA from 1 species